rnacentral:rRNA from 1 species
GACGAACGCUGGCGGCGUGCUUAACACAUGCAAGUCGAACGGAAAGGCCCUGCUUUUGUGGGGUGCUCGAGUGGCGAACGGGUGAGUAACACGUGAGUAACCUGCCCUUGACUUUGGGAUAACUUCAGGAAACUGGGGCUAAUACCGGAUAGGAGCUCCUGCUGCAUGGUGGGGGUUGGAAAGUUUCGGCGGUUGGGGAUGGACUCGCGGCUUAUCAGCUUGUUGGUGGGGUAGUGGCUUACCAAGGCUUUGACGGGUAGCCGGCCUGAGAGGGUGACCGGCCACAUUGGGACUGAGAUACGGCCCAGACUCCUACGGGAGGCAGCAGUGGGGAAUAUUGCACAAUGGGCGGAAGCCUGAUGCAGCAACGCCGCGUGCGGGAUGACGGCCUUCGGGUUGUAAACCGCUUUCGCCUGUGACGAAGCGUGAGUGACGGUAAUGGGUAAAGAAGCACCGGCUAACUACGUGCCAGCAGCCGCGGUGAUACGUAGGGUGCGAGCGUUGUCCGGAUUUAUUGGGCGUAAAGGGCUCGUAGGUGGUUGAUCGCGUCGGAAGUGUAAUCUUGGGGCUUAACCCUGAGCGUGCUUUCGAUACGGGUUGACUUGAGGAAGGUGGGGGAGAAUGGAAUUCCUGGUGGAGCGGUGGAAUGCGCAGAUAUCAGGAGGAACACCAGUGGCGAAGGCGGUUCUCUGGGCCUUUCCUGACGCUGAGGAGCGAAAGCGUGGGGAGCGAACAGGCUUAGAUACCCUGGUAGUCCACGCUGUAAACGGUGGGUACUAGGUGUGGGGUCCAUUCCACGGGUUCCGUGCCGUAGCUAACGCUUUAAGUACCCCGCCUGGGGAGUACGGCCGCAAGGCUAAAACUCAAAGGAAUUGACGGGGCCCCGCACAAGUGGCGGAGCAUGCGGAUUAAUUCGAUGCAACGCGUAGAACCUUACCUGGGUUUGACAUGGAUCGGGAGUGCUCAGAGAUGGGUGUGCCUCUUUUGGGGUCGGUUCACAGGUGGUGCAUGGCUGUCGUCAGCUCGUGUCGUGAGAUGUUGGGUUAAGUCCCGCAACGAGCGCAACCCUUGUUCACUGUUGCCAGCACGUUAUGGUGGGGACUCAGUGGAGACCGCCGGGGUCAACUCGGAGGAAGGUGGGGAUGACGUCAAGUCAUCAUGCCCCUUAUGUCCAGGGCUUCACGCAUGCUACAAUGGCUGGUACAGAGAGUGGCGAGCCUGUGAGGGUGAGCGAAUCUCGGAAAGCCGGUCUCAGUUCGGAUUGGGGUCUGCAACUCGACCUCAUGAAGUCGGAGUCGCUAGUAAUCGCAGAUCAGCAACGCUGCGGUGAAUACGUUCCCGGGGCUUGUACACACCGCCCGUCAAGUCAUGAAAGUUGGUAACACCCGAAGCCGGUGGCCUAACCGUUGUGGGGGAGCCGUCGAAGGU